CCUUACUUCUUCGCCAAACACAAAACUCAGAGAAAACCUAAGAGAUUCUCAUCCAAGAUGCGUGCCAAGUGGAAGAAGAAGAGAAUGAGGAGAUUGAAGAAGGAAGCGUCGAAAGAUGAGACAACGAUCAAAGUAGAGAAUGAAAACUAGAAUGGCUUUUUCCAAUCUUUCUUCAUGCACAUACAUGAUCUCCUGUAGAUUCAGGGAGUUUUGUAUGUAAAAGAUGGAUCUUUGUGUUGAAGUUGUUCAUAGUUUAGGUGGUGGGUUUCUACUUGUUGGCUUUAGUUUCUUUCUUGUUUUAAUGAGAUACACUCUUGUCUAAGUUUGUUUUUGUUGAGUGUUUCCAAUUGCUUAUUUUAUCUACUUUAUUUAUAUUAUU
rnacentral:lncRNA from 1 species